rnacentral:lncRNA from 1 species
CUUUGGUGGUCUAGGCAUGCAGCCGAUAGAGAACACUUUGACAAGCGUCACAGCCAGCGGAUGUGGCCUUUGAACCCCUCAGAAGACCUCAGCUCAAAGGUUACUACGUCACCGAAUCUCUCCCUGACCACCACGCUGUGAAGUAGCCUGGGAAGAAAGGCCAUCUCAGCUCUUCCAGCUGUCCUACCUGAAGCCUGAACAUGUGAGUGAAACCACUGUGGACUCCCAGCUUUUGCUGAGCCCUCAGGUUUCUGCAGCUGUAGGAGUGAAUUCACGUGAGGCGAGUGGCAGAGCUACCCGAUCGACCUUCACAAUUGUGCUAAAUAAUAAAUAAGUAAACGAUGACUGUUUUUA